rnacentral:tRNA from 1 species
GCGCUGGUCAGGCGGUGCCGAAAAGGGACUCAUAAUCCGUAGGUCGCGGGUUCGAGCCCCGCCCGCCCCA